AUGAAUAGAAUAUUUUUCUCUUCACUGAAAUGAAAACAAGCUUCUAAAUCCCCUGCAAAACCUAUUUUUCCUGCUCAUCCCACAUUUAAUAUCUAUGUUACAAUGUCACAUGGACUGUACAAAGAAUUACUGCUACACAAAGCCUUUUUUCUAUGCAAAGCUUAGCUCUCUCGAAUUUGCUUGCCAGCCUUCUUGUUGUCAAGUCUUUAUGCACAGUUUCUCCCUUGCAAUGUAGGGAUAAUACUUCUAACUGUUUAUAGCUCUUGAAAAUUUUAUGACAAACAUAUCCAAAAUCUCUUUCAAAUACAGAGCAGAAUAUCUUACAGCUGGCUAAUGAAAGUAAAACAAAUUAGGAGCCUUAAGCAGCUUACAAGUACUAUUUUAAGAUUAUGAAUGUUUGCAUCUGCAUUUCAGAUAGGUGCUCAGAUAUUCAAGCUCAGUAAAAAUGACUGUACUGCAUCUACUGAAAGUGGUAGUGAAAAAGAAUUCUAAGAAUGAUACAGUAAGAUAUGGUAAUUGCUCUGUAGCAUUACUGACUUAUUGCAAAGAGUUUUAUAGCAGAAUUACUAAUUAAUGUCACUUAAUCAUUCCUGAAAUAACUAUUCUUUUGAUAAUUAUGUGACCUUAAAAUACUACUCUCAGCAGCUCAACUACAUUUUGCUAAUCUGAACAUCUGUUUACAAUGGGAAACAAUGUUAGUUUCAGUUUUACAACUGAAAAAUGAUACCUUUAUGUUGUCUACAAUGACAACCCCAAACUCAUUAUUAGUUUUAAAAAAGAAACCCUUUUCAAAGGUUCCUAAGUAAAUUUUCAAAGAUAAACUGCUGCAAGUUUAGAAUGUCAUAUUGACUGUUAUUUCAGUGGCACAUGUUUUACUGAAUAUGCAAUUUUCUUUACUUGGUGUAACAUUAUGUUUCCUUUCUUUUUAUUACUCACAAACCUUUAUUCAUACUACAGUACACAUGGUUGUAGGAUGUGGGGUUUCCUUGGCAGGGGACAGACAGCUGCAUGUUUAUUUGAACAUCAUGUACUCAAAUCGAGAAUCAAGCAACCCAAGGUCCCUUUCAUAAAUAAGAAAUGUUUUCCAAGAAGCGAUUCAACACAUACAAGGUGCUCAAAUACAGCUACACAUAUACAGCUUCUGUGAUACCAUCUGCACAAUUACCAGGUGAGCAUUUGAUAUUUUAUUUGCAACCAUCUGUGCCUUUGACAUUCUUCACAGGAAAGUAGAAAGAAGCUUUCAGGUAAUUUAUCACGAUGUUGAGAAGUGAAGAUGGAUUUUUUUAUUUUUUUAUUUUUUUAAUUCAUUUAUCAGCUGAAUUGCAAGAUCUAACUGCUCUUAUAUUAGUUUUAAAAAAGUAAAUGUAU
rnacentral:lncRNA from 1 species